GAAAAAAAAGGAAACUGAAACUGACAAACUGCAGUGGCUUGACACAAGGCAAUUUACCACUUUUUCUCCCCAAAGUCUGAAUAUUAUAUGUGCAGGAGAACGAUUUCUAAUUCACUAGGUAAAGCUGUGAUUUUCUGUUAAAAUUGCCUCACCUCAUCAUUACACAAAAUGGCAUCUAAGAUGUAUCAAAGAAUAAAAUAAGUUUCACUGACACACAAGUGCAAUAUAUCAAAAGGAAAAAAAAUGGAACAAUUCUCAUCUACUCUCAUGAAAGCCAUUUUGAUGACAAAAAAAGCAACCAAAUGCAACUGUUAUUUAUCUACAAAGAAACUAGAUAUAAUGCAAGAUGAAGGAAGCGAUUUCUAUGGAUGUUCUCAUCAGUGCAGUUUUAAUUCUUCUACCACUCAUCUCAAAAGUGCUGGAUACUAAGUCCUUUUUUCCUCGUCAUGUAUAGUGAGUGUGUUAAUACCCAAGAACUCAAUCAGGGGCCAAAGCUGUGGACUACAGAGCACAAGCAAACAGUA